GACGAACGCUGGCGGCGUGCUUAACACAUGCAAGUCGAACGGAAAGGCCCUGCUUUUGUGGGGUGCUCGAGUGGCGAACGGGUGAGUAACACGUGAGUAACCUGCCCUUGACUUUGGGAUAACUUCAGGAAACUGGGGCUAAUACCGGAUAGGAGCUCCUGCUGCAUGGUGGGGGUUGGAAAGUUUCGGCGGUUGGGGAUGGACUCGCGGCUUAUCAGCUUGUUGGUGGGGUAGUGGCUUACCAAGGCUUUGACGGGUAGCCGGCCUGGGAGGGUGACCGGCCACAUUGGGACUGAGGUACGGCCCAGACUCCUACGGGAGGCAGCGGUGGGGAAUAUUGCACAAUGGGCGGAAGCCUGAUGCAGCAGCGCCGCGUGCGGGAUGACGGCCUUCGGGUUGUAAACCGCUUUCGCCUGUGACGAAGCGUGAGUGACGGUAAUGGGUAAAGAAGCACCGGCUAACUACGUG
rnacentral:rRNA from 1 species